CUUCCGAGUUCCCUGGAACGGGACGCCAUAGAGGGUGAGAGCCCCGUCUGGUUGGACACCGAUCCUCUGUAAAGCUCCUUCGACGAGUCGAGUAGUUUGGGAAUGCUGCUCUAAAUGGGAGGUAUAUGUCUUCUAAAGCUAAAUACCGGCCAGAGACCGAUAGCGCACAAGUAGAGUGAUCGAAAGAUGAAAAGAACUUUGAAAAGAGAGUUAAACAGUACGUGAAAUUGUUGAAAGGGAAGCGCUUGUGACCAGACUUGGGCUUGGUUGAUCAUCCGGGGUUCUCCCCGGUGCACUCUUCCGGCUCAGGCCAGCAUCAGUUCGCCCUGGGGGACAAAGGCUUCGGGAAUGUGGCUCUCUCCGGGGAGUGUUAUAGCCCGUUGCGUACAUACCCUGUGGCGGAGCUGAGGUACGCGCAUC
rnacentral:misc_RNA from 1 species